rnacentral:rRNA from 1 species
UACGUAGGUGGCAAGCGUUGUCCGGAAUUACUGGGUGUAAAGGGCGUGUAGGCGGGGAUGUAAGUCAGAUGUGAAAUUCUGGGGCUCAACUCCAGGGCUGCAUCUGAAACUAUAUCUCUUGAGUGCUGGAGAGGAAAUCGGAAUUCCUGGUGUAGCGGUGAAAUGCGUAGAUAUCAGGAGGAACACCGGUGGCGAAGGCGGAUUUCUGGACCAGUUCUGACACUGAUGAGCGAAAGCCAGGGGAGCAAACAGG